rnacentral:lncRNA from 1 species
CCCACGGGAAGAACCAAUGAGGCGGUGGCAGGGGAGGGCCCCGGGCUGUGAUUGGUCGGCAGAGCUGUCACUCACCGCGUCUUCAUGGAGCUCAGGCGGGCGCUGGUGACACCAAGGAGACCCCCGAGAGCGGCCUGGGGAGGUCAAAGGUCACCGAGGGGUCACUCAAAGGUCAGGGGUCACCGAGGGGUCACUGAGGGGUCACUCAAAGAUCACUCAGAGGUCACUCAGGGGUCACUCAGGGGUCACUGAAGGGUCAGGAGUCACUCAGGGGUCACUCAAAGAUCACUCAGAGGUCACUCAGGGGUCACUGAGGGGUCACUGAAGGGUCAGGAGUCACUCAGGGGUCACCCAGGGGUCACUCAAAGGUCACUCAGGGGUCACUCAGAGAUCAGGGAUCAUUCAGGGGUCACUCAGAGGUCACUGAGGGGUCACCCAGGGGUCACUGAGGGGUCAAAGAUCGCUGAGGGGUCACUGAGGGUCACCAAACCCUCCUGAAGGGUCACUGGAGGGUCAAAGGUCAGGUGGGCGUGGCCAGAAGUCACGUGAGAGCUGGGGGCGGGGCCUCAGAUUUGGGGGAAUUCCGGUGUUUUGGGGUCCUGACCCCUGAGGGAAUUCCCGAUUUUCAGGACAGAUCCCGAUUUUUGGGAAGGAUCCCAAUUCCCUGAGGGGAUCCUGAUUUUCGGGAAGGAUCCGGAUCCCUGAGAGAAUUCCCGAUUUUUGGGAAGGAUCCCGAUUUCUCAGGGGAUCCCAUUUUUAAGGAAGAACCCCGAAUUUUGAGGAGAAUCCCAGAUCCCUGAGGGAAUUCCCAAUUUUCUGGGAGCCGGAUCCCUGAGGGGAUCCCGAUUUUCAGGAAAAAUCCCAAUUCUUGGGACAGAUCCCGAUUUUUGAGGAGAAUCCUGAACCCUGAGGGGAUCCCGAUUUUCGGGAAGGAUCCCAACCCCUGAGGAGAUUCCAAAUAUUCGGGAAAGAUUCUGAUCCCUGAGGGGAUCCGGAUUUUCAGGACAGAUCCCGAUUUUCGGGAAAGAUCCCGAUUUUCAGGAAGGACCCCGACCCCUGAGGGAGUUCCCGCCCUUUUGCCCUCACGACCCCUGAGGGAAACCCCGUUUUUUCCCGCCGAUCUCUGAGGAUGGUGGAGGGGGG